GAAUUUUCAGACUUAAGAGGUAAUUAAUUAAAUUAGGGUUUUUUUGUGUUUGAUUAUUUAAACUUUGAAGUUUUUUUGAAUUUGUUGUUGGUUAGGGUUAAAUGAACUAUAAUGUUUUUGGUGUAUUUUGGACUUAAAGAGGUAACUAAAUUAGGGCUUUUCUUUGUUUGAUAAUUUAAAUUUUGAAGGUUUUUUUUGAAUUUGUUGCUGAUUGGGUUAAAUGAAAUUCAAUUUUUUGGUGAUAUUGUUUAUGGCUGAUUUGGUUAAUUGGUUGUGUUUGUGGGUUGAUUUUAAUGUGUUUUUCCUUAGAUUUUGUUUGAAUAUAUAAAAUAAAUUUGGUUGGAGGCUUUGAGAAGACAUUUAAAGGAAAUUAAUAUUGGACGAUUGAUGAUGAUGAUUGGGGGAUUGAUGAUGAACUUGACACUUACAUUGCAGAUGUGAAAAAUAAUCCCGAAUUUUCAACAUUGGUAAACUUCCUCAAAAAUUGGUUAAGAAAAAUAAGGCUGAUUUGUAUCAUCGGGUUUAUUUAUUGUUGAAAUUGACUUUGAUUUUGCCAGUUGCUAUUUCCACGAUGGAGAGGAAAUUUUUAGCGAUGAAAAUUUGUUAAAACCACUCUUCGAAACCAAAUGGGCGAUAAAUAGUUGAGUGAUUGUUUAGUUCCUUGCAUCGAAAAUGAUGUAUUUAAAACUAUUGAUAAUGAAGCUAUCUUGUAACAUUUUCAAGCUAUGGAGUCUAGAAUGAUAGCAUUAUAACUUGU
rnacentral:lncRNA from 1 species